UUAAAAGCCUCCAUAAUGCCUGCUUGAAAUUACACUUUCCAUUGUUUUUUUUAGUGGUCCAUCAUGGCAGUAUUGGUAAAAGUUGUUUCUGUGUGGUUUCUCAUUGCUAGUGUCAGUAAUGUCUUCGGUCAUCCAAAGAGGGAUGUCAUGGAGGAAAGUUCCCAUGUGGUUGAUGUUACCAAAUCCCAACAACCAGACCCAAACUGGAGCUAAUGAUGGUGCAAGUGAAGAUUACUGUAUGUUGUCUCCCCAAAACCAGACAACCGCUGCCCAAACUGAAAAUGCUGUAAAAAGAUGGAGCAAGUGAAUAUGACAUGGUAACUGAAUCCCCAAAACCAGACAGUGCCAUCUGCCACAGGUGGAGUAACCGUAGAGUCCAAGGAUGGGCCAAGUGAAGAUGCUGAGGUUAUCACGCCGAUACCGAAUGCCCAAAACCAGACCACCUCGGCGCACAGUAUAGGAACGGAUGGUGCAAGUGAGGAUGCAGUGUUGACCACUGUGCUGAACCUGAAAAAUGGGACCACCUCUGCCCAAGAUGGAACCACUAACACUGGUAUUGACAUUUUACCUGUUGUGUAAAUUUUUUUUUUUUUUUUUUUUUUUUGUGAUAAAUCUGGGAUUUCAAGCUUGACUUAUGCUUAUCAAGAUGUGGUGCCAUACAUUACAUUGUCUGCUUUAGAUUUGUGGAAUUUCUACAUUUUUUCCCCAUUAAGAUAAUCUAGUGGCUACAAGAGUCUUUAGCACUCAGUCUUCUGAGACAAAUCAAAUCAUUUGUAGGUUAUAGAUGUGUGAAUUCAGUUUGUCAGAUCCCAUGUUGGGACAAUAGCAUUUGUAGACUUGCUCACCAAUGAUUAUUUAAAUGCUUCAUUAUCCCUGUAGUCUCUUACUGCAUACUCUGCUCCUUAAACUGCUCAGACUUAACAUUUCUUUGGCAAAUGGCACUCCUAGUCACGUAUACUGUGUCUCCUGGUUUUGUAUAUUUGUCACCUGUGAACUGUAGUUGACUGGCUGGCUAUGUAGGAAGUUCAUGUCAGCCCAACUUGCUGUACGAGGAAUGAGUUGAUUUUAACCUUUUAGAGCAAAGGUGCAGAAAUGGAACGUUGUGGGCUGGCCUGGUUCAUAUUUCAGGUUAUAGAUUUCUUAAAUCAACCAGUAGUCACAACAAAAUGUCUGGUAGUUGACUAGUCCCAGGUUGAAGCAAUGGCAUAUAGUAAGGAGUUGCUCUGAAAUAAGUUAAAGACUGCUUUUUUUUUUUUUUUUUUUUUUUUUU